GAGACACGCUGGGCGGCGUGCCUAAUACAUGCAAGUCGAGCGAAGCGGAGAGAGCUUGCUCUCAAAGCUUAGCGGCAAACGGGUGAGUAACACGUGGGCAACCUGCCUAACAGCCUGGGAUAACUUGAGGAAACUCAAGCUAAUACCGGAUAGGAUCGCGAACCGCAUGGAACGUGAUGGAAAGUCUGAACGACACUGUUAGAUGGGCCCGCGGCGCAUUAGCUAGUUGGUGGGGUAAAGGCCUACCAAGGCAACGAUGCGUAGCCGACCUGAGAGGGUGACCGGCCACACUGGGACUGAGACACGGCCCAGACUCCUACGGGAGGCAGCAGUAGGGAAUCUUCCACAAUGGGCGAAAGCCUGAUGGAGCCAACGCCGCGUGAGUGAUGAAGGUUUUCGGAUCGUAAAACUCUGUUGUUAGGGAAGAACACCCGAGAGAGGAUCUCGGUUUGACGGUACCUAACGAGGAAGCCCCGGCUAACUACGUGCCAGCAGCGGC
rnacentral:rRNA from 1 species